ensembl:lincRNA 0610006L08Rik RIKEN cDNA 0610006L08 gene
AGAACGAAAAUGAAGUGAGAGAAGCAAAGACAGAGCCAUUAAAUAUCGAGGCCGAAAGAGCAUGAUCAGUCAGAACUGAGUUAAGAAGCAAGACUGAUAACUGGCAACAGUGGUGAAGGAGGAGGUGGGGAUCCCGCGGCAUACUGAAGGAGGAGAGCCCCAGGCAGAGGGAACGAUCAUCAGGACUCUGGACAAUUAGGACAGAGGGCACUGCACUGCUUCCCACCCCCACCUCACGCCAUGCCGCUGCUAUUUGAGCCUACUUCAGAGACACAGGAGUGGAGUUGGGAGAAGGAAUGGAAUGAGACCCAGGGACCUCAUACAUUCUCCAUACCUCAAGCCUCCUGUUCACAUCACAAGCAGACUAUCGGCCUCUGGAAAGGAAGGCCUAUGCCUUUGUAAAUCUUCUCUUUGGAGUUUAUUCCAGUGCCCUGCAUGCAUGGAGGGAGAAUCCAAUCAAUGCACGACUGCUGAAGUGAUGACACCUGGUAUGGUUCUCAGCUUGUAUUAGGGGAUCAAUGAAGUCUGGUUUCCUUCUUUGGUUGCUGAGCAAGUUCAUAAGACAGACAGGCAAAUCUUGACAUUUUGUUCCUUAAACCGAUUAGCAAAUCUUCUUUACAAGGAAGAUUAUUGAGAAACUGAUUAUAAAAUGUCGUUAGUUCACAAGCAAAAAUAGCACUUAAAUAGAGGUUACAUUACACAGCUGAGCUACCUUUGUUUCCCAAAUUAUCCCUGCUUCAGACAUCCAUUGUGUUGCCUCCCCAGUCUUCAGUUUCAAUAUGUUUCACACAAAGGAGAAACUCUGAGGAUACAGCCAUCAAUAUUUCUCACUAAGAACCUUGACUCUUCUAUAAUUAAAUUGCCCUCUUGUGCUAAUUUGCUUGCAUGCCUACAAUAUUCCUCUUUCCAAUUAAAUACACUACUCUUUGACAGUGGUUAAGGAAGUAGAAGGGAGAAAGAAUCAAACUGGCACUUCCCACAGUUAAGAUGUUUUUCCCCUCAAGGGAUUUUGGACACGGUGACUUCUGAGAUGACUACAGCUAUACUGUGGGAAAGGGUGUGAUGGGUACAGUUUAGAUACAGGCACGUGUCACAGAUGCUGCUUGGAAACUGUUUUGAAACUGCAAAAGAAGCAUGAGUGGCAUGUCUGUCUCAUCACAAGGGUGUGGUCUCAAGUUUACCUCAAAUCCAACUGACUGUCGAGAGCCACUGGACAGACCCAGAGGUGCAUACGCAUGGGCUUGUCAUCAUCCUACCCAUUCGUGGUGUGAAGUUGAAAUAGUGGAGUUCAGUACAAGGAAGCCCCGCUUCUUCAGCAUAACACACGAGCUCUCAGAUCUUCCAAUGGAGUUCUAGAACCUCUCAACCCAGCUCCAACACGAUGAAAAGAUGGACUGCAUUUAAAACUUGAGAUCAAAUAUGGUAGAAAGUGGAAUCAUUUUUUUUAAAAGGCCUUUGAAUUAGAUUCUGAAUGCUGGUGAAUCUUGGCAAUUGAUUCUGAUCACUCUCCCCAUGAUACAGUUUAUUUCUUCAUCUUGACCUUCUCAGUUAUUCUGUUUUCCAUUUAAUAAAGACAGAUUUCCUAAUUCUUCUUUC